CAACGCUUAAAAGAUGGCUUCUCGCUAUCACUUCUGGAUGGACCUGCGGUGCAUUAGCUUGUUGGUGGGGUAACGGCCUACCAAGGCGAUGAUGCAUAGCCGAGUUGAGAGACUGAUCGGCCACAAUGGGACUGAGACACGGCCCAUACUCCUACGGGAGGCAGCAGUAGGGAAUCUUCCACAAUGGGCGCAAGCCUGAUGGAGCAACACCGCGUGAGUGAAGAAGGGUUUCGGCUCGUAAAGCUCUGUUGUUAAAGAAGAACACGUAUGAGAGUAACUGUUCAUACGUUGACGGUAUUUAACCAGAAAGUCACGGCUAACUACGUGCCAGCAGCCGCGGUAAUACGUAGGUGGCAAGCGUUAUCCGGAUUUAUUGGGCGUAAAGAGAGUGCAGGCGGUUUUCUAAGUCUGAUGUGAAAGCCUUCGGCUUAACCGGAGAAGUGCAUCGGAAACUGGAUAACUUGAGUGCAGAAGAGGGUAGUGGAACUCCAUGUGUAGCGGUGGAAUGCGUAGAUAUAUGGAAGAACACCAGUGGCGAAGGCGGCUACCUGGUCUGCAACUGACGCUGAGACUCGAAAGCAUGGGUAGCGAACAGGAUUAGAUACCCUGGUAGUCCAUGCCGUAAACGAUGAGUGCUAGGUGUUGGAGGGUUUCCGCCCUUCAGUGCCGGAGCUAACGCAUUAAGCACUCCGCCUGGGGAGUACGACCGCAAGGUUGAAACUCAAAGGAAUUGACGGGGGCCCGCACAAGCGGUGGAGCAUGUGGUUUAAUUCGAAGCUACGCGAAGAACCUUACCAGGUCUUGACAUCUUGCGCCAACCCUAGAGAUAGGGCGUUUCCUUCGGGAACGCAAUGACAGGUGGUGCAUGGUCGUCGUCAGCUCG
rnacentral:rRNA from 1 species